UACAGAGGUCCCAAGCGUUGUUCGGAUUCAUUGGGCGUAAAGGGUGCGUAGGUGGCUUGACAAGUUUGAUGUGAAAUCUCCGGGCUUAACCCGGAAAAUGCAUUGAAUACUGUAGAGGCUUGAGGUUUGGAGGGGGGACUGGAAUUCUCGGUGUAGCAGUGAAAUGCGUAGAUAUCGAGAGGAACACCAGUGGCGAAGGCGAGUCCCUGGACAACACCUGACACUGAGGCACGAAAGCCGGGGGAGCAAACAGG
rnacentral:rRNA from 1 species